rnacentral:rRNA from 1 species
AGUGAACGCUGGCGGCAGGCCUAACACAUGCAAGUCGAACGGCAGCACAGUAAGAGUUUGCUCUUAUGGGUGGCGAGUCGCGGACGGGAGAGGAAUAUAUCCGAAUCUACUUUUUCGUGGGGCUUCACGUAGCGAAACCUACUCUAAUAUCGCAUCCGAUCCUCCGGUGAAAGCAGUGGAACUUCGCGCCUUGUGCGGUUGAAUUAGCCGCUGUCGGAUUUGUUAGUUGGGGGGGUAAUGGCCCACCAAGUCGACGAUCCGUAGCUGGUCUGAGAGGCCGGUAGGCCGCACUGGAGGUGGGACACGGUCCAGACUACUAAGAGAGGGAGCAGUGGGGAAUAUUGGGCAAUGGGCGCAAGCCUGAUCCAGCGAGACCGCGUGGGUGAAGAAGGCCUUCGGGUUGUGAAGCCCGUUUGUUGGGAAAGAAAAGCAGCAGGUUGAUACCCAGCGGUUCUGACGGUACCCAAAGAAUAAGCACCGGCUAACUACGUG